GUGCUCACUUCAACGGUAUAUAUACUAAAAUUGGAAUGAUAAAGAGAAGAUUAACAUGGCCCCCGCACAAGGAUGAUAGGCAAAAUUUAAAAAGGAAUAUGUACAGU